UUUGUUUUUCUAGGUUCUUAAGGAAUCAAGUGACGAGGAAAGGGAGCAAGCUGAAGAGAUGAUGAAGUACUAGGUUCUUAAGGAAUCAAGUGACGAGGAAAGGGAGCAAGCUGAAGAGAUGAUGAAGUACUAGGUUCUUAAGGAAUCAAGUGACGAGAAAAGGGAGCAAGCUGAAGAGAUGAUGAAGUACUAGAUUUGUGUCUGAGUAGCAAAAUUCCAGAAGUGUUUGGCAUCAUGCAGGCAACUACUGUUAUGUGAGCACAUAAAAUUUGUGUGUGUUUUUUGUGGAAGAGGUCAUUUUUGCUGUUCUACAUCCAUCUUUCUCAACAAGAAAAACAAGACAACAUGUUAAAUAUUAACACAUCAACUUGUAUUAUUAUUUUUGUAUAUUAGGUUUAUUUUUUCUCUAUUUUUAGGGCAUUUUUAUUAUGACCAUUAGAUCUUGAUCUAGUGGAUAUGAGAUGUGUGUGUUUUGUGUUUCCAAAACACACAGUUUUUCUUAAAAGAAAUAUGUGUGUUUUUUCAGCUACAAACACACGCGUGUUUUUAGGCAUAAAUUGUCCAUGUGCUGUAUAGACAGUCCCAAA